AUGACGAAAACAUUUAAGUGUGUGGAAAAUGGAGGUAAAGAUCACUGCCUUGAAAUCAAGAUGUUUGUGGUCUUUCUGAGGUAUCCACUCCUGGAUAUGGUGUUAUCCUCUCUAAUUCCUUGCGUUCCUCAUCUGAUGAAGGUCUGCAAAGUAAUACCCAGACAAUGGAACAAUUUCAGCUUGAGAAGAAGGAAGCUUCCUUGUGGAGAUGUACCUUCUUAGGUGAACCUUAUUGGUCUAGAUUAAAGACCACUCCCACUGGUAUUAUCAAAGACUAACUUAUGGAGCUUUUCCUGGGGAAUUUUUACAAAAGAAGCUUCUCCAGUAUUCCAUCACAUAAAAAUACUUCUAUUGCACAGAAUCAGCUAAAUGUAUGCUCUCUUAAUCUACCUAACUUUAUAAGGCUUGUGUAAUAAAUACUACUAAGAUACAUGGAAGAAAUGCA
rnacentral:lncRNA from 1 species